rnacentral:misc_RNA from 1 species
GAUGAAGAACGUAGUGAAAUGCGAUAAGUAAUGUGAAUUGCAGAAUUCAGUGAAUCAUCGAAUCUUUGAACGCACAUUGCGCCUCUCGGUAUUCCGGGAGGCACGCCUGUUCGAGCGCCAUUACACACCCCAAGCUCUGCUUGAUGUUGGACGACGUCUGUGACGAGACGGGUCUGGAACGCGUUGGCGCCGCCGACGGACCACGAGCGUAGCAAGACGCAAGUCAUCGCUGAGUUGGCUCCGGACGGAGGGCAGCCUCUUGGCUUCUGGUAACGCAGGAGCCGACAGCCCAAUCGAGUUUGGCCUCGGAUCAGGCGGGGAUACCCGCUGAACUUAAGCAUAUCAAUAAGCGGAGGA